UCUUCACGACCGAGGAUGCAAGGCUGCUCUAAUGUUUAAAUUGCGAUACGUACACCCGGAUGCGCCAUGCGAGCAACUUGCGUUUCUUCACCUUCCUCGUGAUGCUUGGAGCGAUUACGAGAUCGACCGAUUGACGCGCUCGUCGCACAGAAAAGAACAACUACAGAACAAGAGCUACUGUGCGAGAGCCGAGCGCUAUCGAGCGCGAAUGUGUUUAGCCACGCCGACCGUUCCGCUUCUACUGACAAAGGCGAGUGACUAUCUAGUGCUGGUAGUGCUUAGUGCUCGCAGAACUUGACGCCUGUUGUUUGUUGCAGUGUCAUGCAGUGAUACUACCUCGCACCUUCAACACGACAAUAGCAACAUUAUUCGGGCCGGUAUCGAUAACAAUGAAAUAUAAAUAUUGAUGAGAGCUUGAUACUUUUGCGAGUGCCAUUCAGCAACACAAAUUACAAGUGGACUCAAGUUUCCGUUUUCUAUUUCAUUUCUGCCAUUACGCAUCGAUGAUUCAUGAGGAAUACAUGGAAGAGAAACAGAAAUAUAAUUAUUUCUUGAAUGAUGAUCGAGGGCUUAUUGAAUUUGCUAGCCAAGUGGCUGGUCUCUGGAUGGAAAGUUGCUGAAACUAAACUCUCUCAAGCUCUCCUUCCAUGACUUAGAAUAAGAGCGAAUUAAUUUCAGCAUGGGACAUCCUGUAUAUCCUGUAUUCUCUGAAGCUUGGGAUAAUUCAGGAUUUAUUUAAAUAAGCUUGAUUUAGUAAACGUAAAAUAAAAAAAACGGAAGAGGCUGGAGCCAACUGUAUAUCACAUGCGCACACACGACAAAUUAUAACAACAAUCCUACGAAAUAAAUUAAUGUUUAAGAUACAAUGA